CCCACAAUCCCCGGCACCCGCACUGCAACUAUUCCCUGCCCGGUUCUUCCCCAGGCGACAGCCCGCCGAUGCCUCUCAUCCCCGCACUCGUCGGCAACCCCUGCCCCACAAGGUCCUCGGCGCCCCAUAGCCACCUCGCUCGCACCUCCCUGCCCUAUCUCUGGCCCCGCAACUGAUCCUCUGCUGCCCCACGUAGGCCGCGGCCCCCGCCGAUCCUCUUCUGCCGGACACGAGAGCAGGCCGCAGCCCCAGCCGUUCCUCCUCUGCUACUUCAGGUACGCCAGCGCCGAACAGACAGCACGGCCGCCGCUGCCGCCCGCCGCUCCUCAUCGUCUGCACCCAUGAAGUUGCUGCAAUUAAGGUGUCACUCCAGUAGGAGGGGCGCUAAGGAAGGCGCAUCAGGCACGUUGUUGCGGCGGCCGUGAAGGCCGGAGAAGAGGUGGAUGGGUUUCUCACAGUUUCUGUGGCUCGCGGUGUUCAUCCGACUCUCUAGAAUAACUAGAAGAUGAGUUCCCACAAUUUCUACAUCAAAGGUUGUAUCUUUCAGCACUUUGUUAUUGGGCGUGCCUACUUACUAAUUCUAUUUGAUAAGUCAACCUGGGAAACUGCGGAAUGGUGCUGAAUGAAGUUGUUAAUAUGAUUUCUUUUGUGUUUGCUACUGAUAUAUCUCUAAACUUGCAUUUCUCUGCUAUGUUUGUCUGUCAGAGCUGUUGCUGGAUAAGGCUGACGUGCACCAAUGUAAACUUCAGAUUGAGCUUACAACACGGAUUGUUCCCUCCAGCUGUUCGAUUUGCACAUGCGACAAUCGAAGUGUGCCUAUGUUUGGCUGCCCCGUUCACAGAUAUACAGGUUGAAUUCUUCGUUCUUUAUUAUAGGCCGGUUCAUGUGCUUUGACUUGUGAUCUGGGUCGGCGCAUCUAUUAUUUUCGGUCGCAAAUGUGCGCUAGCUCAUGCCUCUCUUGGGUGAUAUAAUCUUUUUGGGGUUUCUCAUAAACUGCAGUGUAUGUAUUAUGCAGAUGAACAAAAACCAUUCAGGUUCCGCAUCCACCCAUCAGGUUCUCUAUUAUACUGCAGGAGGAAAUCCUUUCUUAUUGACCCUUCAAGCGGUAGUCUUUUAGAGGCAGCUUUUGUGCUUUUCCCUUCCGCUGGAACUGCAUGCAGAGUUUGAGUUCAUGGAGUGCCUUUGGCCUUCAGAAAGAAGAAGAAUAAAUGUUUCGUCGUUGAUCUUUCUUAUGUUCCUAGGUGCAUUGUUUUAGGUUAUGCCCUCAUAUGCAGAGAUGGAAAAUCACACAUUUUGCAUCCAGCUUUCAAUGGGAAUAAAUUGAAUUUUGUUUUGAAGCUUGCCGAUGAAUCAAGAAUAUAUCUCUGAAAGCUGCUUCUUUUUUGCAAAAAAAAGAAGAAGCUGAUUUAAGCAUCAUUGCAAUUCAAAACCUACACAGUAUUUAUUUCUGCAUUUAUUUGAAGAUGAGAAUAUACUGACUUCAAUAUCGAGUGUCGAUCCAUUGUUUUCUGCAGGUAAGUAUUAUUUUUUAUUUCCUAAAAAGGAUUUGAAUAUCAUUUU